GUUCAUAGAAAGCUUUUAAAGAACAAACAUCAUAAGCACAGAUUCAUACGAUCUUUGGAGUAUGCAGUGCAUUAUCGUUAUCGGUAUCUUAGUUCAGUCCGUUGCACAAUACCAGAACCCAAAUCCUUUACAGAUGGAUUUAGU